rnacentral:pre_miRNA from 1 species
UCUUACGGAUGAGCAAGGAAGUGGUUUCUUGAGAUGGAAUUUACUGCAGGUGAAGAUGUUGUGAA